rnacentral:rRNA from 1 species
UACGUAGGGGGCAAGCGUUGUCCGGAUUUACUGGGCGUAAAGAGCGUGUAGGCGGCCACGCAGGUCCGUUGUGAAAACUGGAGGCUCAACUUCCAGCCGUCGACGGAAACCGUGUGGCUAGAGUCCGGAAGAGGAGAGUGGAAUUCCUGGUGUAGCGGUGAAAUGCGCAGAUAUCAGGAAGAACACCCGUGGCGAAGGCGGCUCUCUGGGACGCGACUGACGCUGAGACGCGAAAGCGUGGGGAGCGAACAGG